UUGCGCUAAUAGAUGAGCCUAAGUCGGAUUAGCUAGUUGGUGGGGUAAAGGCCUACCAAGGCGACGAUCUGUAGCGGGUCUGAGAGGAUGAUCCGCCACACUGGGACUGAGACACGGCCCAGACUCCUACGGGAGGCAGCAGUGGGGAAUAUUGGACAAUGGGCGCAAGCCUGAUCCAGCCAUGCCGCGUGGGUGAAGAAGGCCUUCGGGUUGUAAAGCUCUUUUGUCAGGGAAGAAACGGCUGAGGUUAAUACCUUCGGCUAAUGACGGUACCUGAAGAAUAAGCACCGGCUAACUACGUGCCAGCAGCCGCGGUAAUACGUAGGGUGCGAGCGUUAUCCGGAAUUAUUGGGCGUAAAGAGCUCGUAGGCGGUUUGUCGCGUCUGCUGUGAAAACUCAAGGCUCAACCUUGGGCUUGCAGUGGGUACGGGCAGACUAGAGUGCGGUAGGGGUGACUGGAAUUCCUGGUGUAGCGGUGGAAUGCGCAGAUAUCAGGAGGAACACCGAUGGCGAAGGCAGGUCUCUGGGCUGUAACUGACGCUGAGGAGCGAAAGCAUGGGGAGCGAACAGGAUUAGAUACCCUGGUAGUCCAUGCCGUAAACGUUGGGCACUAGGUGUGGGGCUCAUUCCACGAGUUCCGUGCCGCAGCAAACGCAUUAAGUGCCCCGCCUGGGGAGUACGGCCGCAAGGCUAAAACUCAAAGGAAUUGACGGGGCCCCGCACAAGCGGCGGAGCAUGCGGAUUAAUU
rnacentral:rRNA from 1 species